AGAGUUUGAUCCUGGCUCAGGAUGAACGCUAGCGGCAGGCCUAAUACAUGCAAGUCGGACGGGAUUGGAGAGCUUGCUUUCCAUGAGAGUGGCGCACGGGUGCGUAACACGUAUGUAACCUACCUUUAUCAGGGGGAUAGCCUCUCGAAAGAGAGAUUAAGCCCGCAUAAUAUGGAGAGACAGCAUUGUUUUUCCAUCAAAUAUUUAUAUAGGAUGAAGAUGGGCAUGCGGAACAUUAGCUAGUUGGUAAGGUAAUGGCUUACCAAGGCUACGAUGCUUAGGGGAUCUGAGAGGAUGACCCCCCACACUGGUACUGAGACACGGACCAGACUCCUACGGGAGGCAGCAGUAAGGAAUAUUGGUCAAUGGGCGCAAGCCUGAACCAGCCAUGCCGCGUGCAGGAAGACGGCCCUACGGGUUGUAAACUGCUUUUGUACC
rnacentral:rRNA from 1 species